rnacentral:rRNA from 1 species
UACGUAGGGGGGCAAGCGUUGUCCGGAUUUAUUGGGCGUAAAGAGCGUGUAGGCGGCCAUACAGGUCAGCUGUGAAAACUCGAGGCUCAACCUCGAGACGUCGGUUGAAACCGUAUGGCUAGAGUCCGGAAGAGGAGAGUGGAAUUCCCGGUGUAGCGGUGAAAUGCGCAGAUAUCGGGAAGAACACCCGUGGCGAAGGCGGCUCUCUGGGACGGUACUGACGCUGAGACGCGGAAAGCGUGGGGAGCGAACAGG